rnacentral:misc_RNA from 1 species
GAUGGAGAACGCAGCGAAAUGCGAUAAGUAAUGUGGAUUGCAGAAUUCAGUGAAUCAUCGAAUCUUUGAACGCACAUUGCGCCCGCCAGUAUUCUGGCGGGCAUGCCUGUCUGAGCGUCAUUUCAACCCUCAUGCCCCUAGGGCGUGGUGUUGGGGAUCGGCCAAAGCCCGCGAGGGACGGCCGGCCCCUAAAUCUAGUGGCGGACCCGUCGUGGCCUCCUCUGCGAAGUAGUGAUAUUCCGCAUCGGAGAGCGAUGAGCCCCUGCCGUUAAACCCCCAACUUUCCAAGGUUGACCUCAGAUCAGGUAGGAAUACCCGCUGAACUUAAGCAUAUCAAUAAGCGGAGGA